rnacentral:rRNA from 1 species
GACGAACGCUGGCGGCGUGCCUAAUACAUGCAAGUUGAGCGCUGAAGGUUGGUACUUGUACCGACUGGAUGAGCAGCGAACGGGUGAGUAACGCGUGGGGAAUCUGCCUUUGAGCGGGGGACAACAUUUGGAAACGAAUGCUAAUACCGCAUAAAAACUUUAAACACAAGUUUUAAGUUUGAAAGAUGCAAUUGCAUCACUCAAAGAUGAUCCCGCGUUGUAUUAGCUAGUUGGUGAGAUAAAGGCUCACCAAGGCGAUGAUACAUAGCCGACCUGAGAGGGUGAUCGGCCACAUUGGGACUGAGACACGGCCCAAACUCCUACGGGAGGCAGCAGUAGGGAAUCUUCGGCAAUGGACGAAAGUCUGACCGAGCAACGCCGCGUGAGUGAAGAAGGUUUUCGGAUCGUAAAACUCUGUUGGUAGAGAAGAACGUUGGUGAGAGUGGAAAGCUCAUCAAGUGACGGUAACUACCCAGAAAGGGACGGCUAACUACGUG